rnacentral:rRNA from 1 species
UACGUAGGGGGCAAGCGUUGUCCGGAUUUACUGGGUGUAAAGGGCGUGUAGGCGGAUUAUUAAGUCAGAGGUGAAAUCUUACGGCUCAACCGUGAAAUUGCCUUUGAUACUGGUAGUCUUGAGUACGAGAGAGGAAGAUGGAAUUCCUGGUGUAGCGGUGAAAUGCGUAGAUAUCAGGAAGAACACCGGUGGCGAAGGCGGUCUUCUGGCUCGUAACUGACGCUGAGGCGCGAAAGCAUGGGGAUCAAACGGG